AUGCUGCUUCCCCGUGUUGUGAAUCUGCUGGUCACUAAAUCCGGCGGCCGCCGCCCGCCCUUCGACCUGCACCGCAUCGAUCCCUCAGGCUUGUUCUACCCUACCGGAUCACCAAAACCGGCAAAUCCAGCUCCGGCCACGGCUCGGCUUCCUUCCGCCGCCAUAUCCUUCGACUGGUCCUGCCCAUGGCAAGGAUACGGCUUCAUGGAUUUCAUGGCCCUCAACAACGACAUCGUCGCCGUGGACCACACAGGCCACACCCUCAUCUACGACGGGGCCUCGCGCGCUGUCCGCGGCAUGAACCAGAUGAUAGACCCGAGGCGCACCUCCAUGUCCGUCACCGUCCGCGACGCCCUCUACGUCAUGGACCUGCGGUCCGAGGUACACUACUUCAAGGUUUUCAGCUACGGACGACCACCACCCGGGCAUCGCCGGGAGGGGGACUGGUACUGGAGCCGUCUAGGGCCGCCGCCUCUCGAUCCCGACGACCACCGGCACGUACUCGUUCGAACGUAA
rnacentral:rRNA from 1 species